rnacentral:rRNA from 1 species
GGGGAAUAUUGCACAAUGGGGGAAACCCUGAUGCAGCAACGCCGCGUGAGCGAAGAAGGCCUUUGGGUCGUAAGGCUCUGUCCUUGGGGAAGAAAAAAUGACGGUACCCAAGGAGGAAGCCCCGGCUAACUACGUGCCAGCAGCCGCGGUAAUACGUAGGGGGCAAGCGUUAUCCGGAAUUAUUGGGCGUAAAGAGUAUGUAGGUGGUUUCUUAAGCGCAGGGUAUAAGGCAAUGGCUUAACCAUUGUUCGCCCCGUGAACUGAGAGGCUUGAGUGCUGGAGAGGAAAGCGGAAUUCCUAGUGUAGCGGUGAAAUGCGUAGAUAUUAGGAGGAACACCAGUGGCGAAGGCGGCUUUCUGGACAGUAACUGACACUGAGAUACGAAAGCGUGGGGAGCAAAC